CAAUAGCGUAUAUUAAAGUUGUUGCAGUUAAAAAGCUCGUAGUUGGAUUUCUGGUCGGAAGCUCCUGUCCUCUGAUGAGCGUACAAGUGCGUCCUACCAUCCUUCUGUUAACCUUUAAGGCUUUCGCGGCUUUCUAGGGGCCCAGAUAUUUUACCUUGAGAAAAUUAGAGUGUUUCAGGCAGGCUAGCGCCGGAAUACAUUAGCAUGGAAUAAUGGAAUAGGACUUUUGCCUCUUCUGUUGGUCAUGAGGCUCGAGUAAUGAUUAAUAGGGAUAGUUGGGGGCAUUAGUACUUAACUGUCAGAGGUGAAAUUCUCGGAUUUGUUAAAGACUAACUUAUGCGAAAGCAUUUGCCAAGGAUGUUUUCAUUAA
rnacentral:rRNA from 1 species